rnacentral:rRNA from 1 species
CAGUAGCCGCGGUAAUACGUAGGGUGCAAGCGUUAAUCGGAAUUACUUGGCGUAAAGCGUGCGCAGGCGGUUAUAUAAGACAGAUGUGAAAUCCCCGGGCUCAACCUGGGAACUGCAUUUGUGACUGUAUAGCUAGAGUACGGCAGAGGGGGAUGGAAUUCCGCGUGUAGCAGUGAAAUGCGUAGAUAUGCGGAGGAACACCGAUGGCGAAGGCAAUCCCCUGGGCCUGUACUGACGCUCAUGCACGAAAGCGUGGGGAGCAAACAGGAUUAGAUACCCCGGUAGUCCCUGUCUCUUAUAC